CGGUAGUUUAAACACCUCGUGUUUUGCUGAGGCACUUGUAUUCAUCUUUCUUCCUGAAAAAGGAUUUCUUCUGCGAAUUUACUAGAAGUUUCAGACCCUAAAAUCCCCCAAAUCCCUGGGCAAGUACUGCAUGUAUAAGUUAUAGUUUGUAGCAAAACAGUUUUCGCUUUCAACAAUUGGCGUGAGUAAAUAACCGGACCGAUAUUUCGUACUUGUAGAGAAUGUUCUUCUCAAGCUACGGCAUCUAGAUCUAUCUCUCACAAUCCACAAAGCGUACCAAGAAGUACUGAAAAAGGUUAGUAAAAUCGUUUUCAAACUGGAUAUUUAAGAGCUCGAAAUCUCAAAUAAUAUUUUGCAAUUCUAGAUUCCCCUUAUUACGUUUUCGCACAGCUUUCCACUAUAACCACAAUGAAAAGCGCUACGAAACCGUAAUAAGAAGAAUCUAGAAUUGUCGGUCCGGUUAUUUACGCACGCCAAUUAUUGAAAGCGAAAACUGUUUUGAUAAAAACUAUAACUUAUACAGUACUUGCCCAGUGAUUUGGGCGAUUUCGGGGUCUGAAACUUCUAGUAAAUUCGCAGAAGAAUUCCUUUUCCUGAAGAAAGAUUAAAUAUACGUGCUUCAACAACACACGAAGUGUUUAAAUUACCGUUAGUAUGUACAUUUAAUGCUUAAUAAAAUAUCUAAAAAAUGCAUGCUUCAGCGUUAUACUAGCAGUAAAACAUUUUCAUUUCAAUUUUGUUGUUACUAUACCUUGUCAAACUUCCGAGAAGGUAUAGUCCAUGGUAAAUUUGAACGUGAUGGAACAAUAGAUUUACAAUAAUCAACAGGUCGCGUUAAAAGUGCAACGUCGAGAAUUGUAACAUUGAUUAAAAUGUUGUAAAUUUGUAUAAUUUCUAUUUAAUGAACUGUCAAUCAAAUUUCA